rnacentral:misc_RNA from 1 species
UCUCCGUAGGUGAACCUGCGGAGGGAUCACUACAGGCUUGCAAAAGCUCUGAAACCACUGUUUAUCUACCUGAAUCUGCUUCGGCGGGCCGCCCCCGGGCGGGGCCGUAGCCGCAAGGCGCCCGCCGAAGACACCUAAACUCUGUCGUCUUGAGAAUCUCUGAGUAUCAUAUUAAACAGAAAACAACUUUCAACAACGGAUCUCUUGGCUCUG